GGGCACGUGGUGUAGUUGGUUAUCACGCUCGCUUAGCAGUCUGCCUUAGUUGCGAGAGGGGUCCGGUUCGAUCCCGGACGUGUCCA